rnacentral:lncRNA from 1 species
ACAGCGAACCGUGGCGGUACGAGAAGGCCAUUAAACGAGCGUUGCAUCUUUCCGGGAUCUUCGUCUUGGCGGAUGCUGUACCGUACCUCGAAUGGCUUGAUAUUCAAGGCCAUGUUCGUUCCAUGAAGAGAACAGCCAAAGAACUCGACUCAGUACUCAGUGUUUGGCUCGAAGAACAUCUAAAGAAGAAAAAGGCAAACCAGGGUACCUCUGAAAAUGAUUUCAUGGACGUGAUGUUAAAUCUCUUACCGGAAGAUACUGUAAUUUC